GUGCCAGCAGCCGCGGUAAGACGAACCGUGCGAACGUUGUUCGGAAUCACUGGGCUUAAAGGGCGCGUAGGCGGGCUGGAAAGUCCGGGGUGAAAUCCCACGGCUCAACCGUGGGACGGCCUCGGAUACUGCCGGCCUCGAGGCGGGUAGGGGCGCGCGGAACUCUGGGUGGAGCGGUGAAAUGCGUUGAUAUCCAGAGGAACUCCGGUGGCGAAGGCGGCGCGCUGGACCCGAUCUGACGCUGAGGCGCGAAAGCCAGGGGAGCGAACGGGAUUAGAUACCCCCGUAGUCC
rnacentral:rRNA from 1 species